rnacentral:miRNA from 1 species
UGUGUGUGUGUGUGUGUAUGUGCGUGUGUGUCUGUCCUUGUCUUCCCCCACACACACAUACACACACACACACACACACACA